rnacentral:rRNA from 1 species
AGUCAACCUACCCUAUGGACGGGAAUAAUCUCGGGAAACUGAGGAUAAUGCCCGAUAGAACACUAUGCCUGGAACGGCUUGUGUUCCAAAUGAUUUAUCGCCGUAGGAUGGGACUGCGGCCUAUCAGUUUGUUGGUGAGGUAAUGGCCCACCAAGACUAUUACAGGUACGGGCUCUGAGAGGAGUAGCCCGGAGAUGGGUACUGAGACACGGACCCAGGCCCUAUGGGGCGCAGCAGGCGAGAAAACUUUGCAAUGUGCGAAAGCACGACAAGGUUAAUCCGAGUGGUUCCUGCUAAAGGAACCUUUUGACGGUCCUAAAAACACCGUUGAAUAAGGGGUGGGCAAGUUCUGGUGUCAGCCGCCGCGGUAAAACCAGCACCUCAAGUGGUCAGGAUGAUUAUUGGGCCUAAAGCAUCCGUAGCCGGCUCUGUUAGUUUUCGGUUAAAUCUGUGCGCUCAACGUACAGGCUGCCGGGAAUACUGCAGAGCUAGGGAGUGGGAGAGGUAGACGGUACUCGGUAGGAAGGGGUAAAAUCCUUUGAUCUAUUGAUGACCACCUGUGGCGAAGGCGGUCUACCAGAACACGUCCGACGGUGAGGGAUGAAAGCUGGGGGAGCAAACCGGAUUAGAUACCCGGGUAGUCCCAGCUGUAAACUAUGCAAACUCAAUGAUGCACUGGCUUGAAGCCAAUGCAGUGUU